ACAAGACGCAUAGAGGAAAUAAAGUUAAAUUCCAAAAGAAAAUAGUAACGCACAGUAAAGCAAAAUUAUUUUGACACCUGUAGUCUGACUACUGGAUAUGAAAUAGCAACGGGUUAGAUUACUUGUUACUGAAAAAAGUGGUCCGACGUCAGUAAGUUACUGACAUCACUGCUUAAGAAGCACCUGAACAGAUUAUGAUUUCAAGACUGGCUACAUAAAAUUUGUGUCGGGUUCCGGGGUUUUUGUUCUGUUUUUUCUUUAUUUUUGGAUCCUCUUGGUGGUUCACGGGCUGUCCACCAGAUAGCGCCAGAGGCUGGUUUUCCGGGGGAGGCGUGCCUGUAGUUCUGCACACCUGACGAUGAUCUUCUCAUCGUCAGCUGGAGGUGAAAAGACGCUGACAGCCAGCACUUCGACGCUGGAGUGUUUUCACCAAAACGGUGUUUCCUCUCAAGUCAUUCCCUGGAUCCUCCCUGAGAGACUUUCGUUGUGACUUUAGGAUUAAGCCCUCCUCGUGACGUCGUGGGUGGUACCCACAGGUUGCCCGAGUUCCCAUUUUCACCUCAUCUGUCGGAUCUCAAGAUUCUCCAGUUUCACUUCCUCCGGCUAGCUGUCGGGCCCUUCCCUCCAUCAUCGUCGAAUCCAGAACUUACCUGUCCGCCCUCCAACCGCCAUAUCCCAGCCUUUGGACCUCGCUCAGCUCUGCUGCCCAUCCGGAACCCGCAGUAUCCACCCUCUCAAUCCGAGACUAUAUCUACCAGAAAUGAGCCGCAGUCAGCAGCAUUCCCCCCAGUUCGGACCCAAACCACGCCAACAUCUUUACUGGGUUAUUGUUUUACAAUAAAUAUUCUUCAACUGA